GAUGAAGAACGCAGCGAAAUGCGAUAAGUAAUGUGAAUUGCAGAAUUCAGUGAAUCAUCGAAUCUUUGAACGCACAUUGCGCCCCCUGGUAUUACGGGGGGCAUGCCUGUCCGAGCGUCAUUACAACCCUCAAGCUCAGCUUGGUGUUGGGCCCCGCCGCCCCGGCGGGCCCUAAAGUCAGUGGCGGUGCCGUCCGGCUCCGAGCGUAGUAAUUCUUCUCGCUCUGGAGGUCCGGUCGUGUGCUCGCCAGCAACCCCCAAUUUUUUUCAGGUUGACCUCGGAUCAGGUAGGGAUACCCGCUGAACUUAAGCAUAUCAAUAAGCGGAGGA
rnacentral:misc_RNA from 1 species